rnacentral:piRNA from 1 species
UUCUUAUUAGAUAAAAUUUGA